UACGUAGGGACCGAGCGUUGUCCGGAUUCAUUGGGCGUAAAGAGCUCGUAGGCGGCUGCUCAAGUCGAAUGUGAAAACUCGAGGCUCAACCUCGAGCCUGCAUUCGAUACUGGGCGGCUAGAGUCUGGUAGGGGGAUCUGGAAUUCCUGGUGUAGCGGUGGAAUGCGCAGAUAUCAGGAGGAACACCGGUGGCGAAGGCGGGAUCCUGGGCCAGUACUGACGCUGAGGAGCGAAAGCGUGGGGAGCAAAGCAGG
rnacentral:rRNA from 1 species